GGCGUGAAAACAGAACGGGGCCGCAGACUGCGAAGCAAAGCCUUCGAAGCCUCUAAUUCCAGCGAGGGCUUCUCCCGCGGUCUCUCGUCCUCUUCGGAAGCCACGAGACGACCGUCUGUACGGAGGAAUAGCCGCGAGGCGCCGCCUCUUGGCCCUGCGGCCUCUGGAGAAACAAGCCACAUCUACUUCCUGUAACACAAUCCAAUCGCUCCUCCUCCAAUCGUGGUCGAAGGAGCUCUGGCUGAUCCUCGUUGUUCCGGCGCUUGCGUUGCCCGGGGCUUCGCUGUGGGAUCCAGAGCUCGAGGCGUCGCUCUAAUGGCUGCGGAGCGGAUAUAUACAGAAGUCCAGGAUUACUAUGGCAAAGAGUUGAAGAAAAAAGAAGACCUAAAAACCAAUGCCUGUUGUACUGUAGCAAGGCCUUUGCCCACAUUCGCCAGAGAAGCCCUACAAUGUGUGCAUGAGGAGGUUUCGGCAAAGUAUUAUGGUUGUGGCCUGGUGAUCCCAGAAUGCCUAGAAGACUGCUGGAUUUUGGAUUUGGGCUGUGGGAGUGGAAGAGACUGUUAUAUGCUCAGUAAGAUGGUUGGGGAGAAUGGACAUGUGACCGGGGUAGACAUGACUGAAUCCCAGGUGGAAGUGGCGAAGAAGCAUAUCGAUUAUCAUAUGAACAAAUUUGGCUACCAGAAGCCCAAUGUAAACUUUAUCCAGGGCUACAUGGAGAAACUGGGUGAAGCAGGCUUGAAGGACGAAAGCUAUAACCUUGUAAUCUCCAACUGUGUGGUCAAUCUGUCCCCUGAUAAAAGAGCUGUCCUGCAUGAAGCUUAUCGAGUGUUAAAGGCAGGCGGGGAGAUGUAUUUCAGUGAUGUCUAUGCCAACUGUGACCUGCCACAGGAAACCAGGAACCAUAAAGUCUUGUGGGGUGAGUGCCUAGGGGGAGCCCUGUGGUGGAAGGAUCUGUACAAAAUUGCUGAGGAAGUUGGAUUCUUGCCACCUCGGUUGGUUGCUGCCUCUCGAAUAACCCUUGCUAACAAGGAGCUGGAAAAUGCCGUGGGUGACUUCCAGUUUGUUUCUGCUACUUUUCGCCUCUUCAAGAUCCCCAAGGAUGGGUCAGCUCAGUGGUGUGAAGCGAUUUACAAAGGAGGAAUCCCUGGGCAUGAGAAGGAACUAGAGCUUGACAUUAACUACAGGUUCAAGCAAGGAGAAGUGGUGGAUGUGGAUGAGGAGACAGCAGCUAUUCUACAGAACUCAAGAUUUUCUAGGAAAUUCCUGAUCCAUCCAGUGGGACAGAAGGUCUCAUCCCCAGAAGGCUAUAUUCCUGGGAAGCAAAAGGGAGCUGCUGAGCUGACAAAACAGGAGCUACAGAUAGCGAUAGAUCGUUCUAGGCUUCAACAUUAGGACUUUGAACCAACAUAUUUCUAAACUCGAUCUGUAUGAACUGAGAUAACUGUGGCAGGGUUUGAUUAAACAAGCACCAGGAGGAAAGGCAUUCAAAAAGCCAGAGCUUAUGUCAAGGUCUGUUUGCAGAUCACCGAGAAACCAAGUGGCAGAUAGAAGAACAAGUUCACAUAUAUCAGCUGAUUUUAUUUAAGCAUUCGUUAGUGGCGGUGGCUGGAACGCUGUUCCACAGAACAAGGGCAAUUCUGUGCUCCUGAAAGCCAGCUCUGAGUUAUUGUGGAGUGGACUUCUGAGAACUUUGGAACUUGCAGGACAAGCUCUACCAUAGGCUGCAGAGACCCACAGGAUGAAUAAGGGGUAAGGCAGUGUCUCAAGUUACCUAGUUCUGAGCUGGAUAGGGCCUUUUAUGCUAGCAGCAACACCUUGAGCUUUGUCUGAUAGCAGAUUGGCAAACGGUGCAAAUCCUCAGAGCAAGGUGUUAUAUGCCAGCAGUAGUUUGACCCCACAAGCAGCCCAGCCACUGUAUUCUGCACCAGCUGCAGUCUCAAGACUAACCUCAAGGGUAAAG